rnacentral:piRNA from 1 species
UGCUCAGCUAGGGUGUCUCCUCCUCUC